AGCCAGCCCUUAGGAAGCGGCUUCUGUUUUGCACUUCAAAGGCGCAUCAGGCAGCUAUCAAAGAAAGAAGAGAAACAGUCAAGGCAUGGAUCUCACAGUCCAGAUUGGAGCCAACAAACCUCUGCUGGUCAAAUGAAGCCACAAAGCAGACAAGGAAACUGAGGCUCAAGGACAUUACCUAACAUCUGCAAGGCCACAAAUUGAGAAAACUGGAAAUCAGGUCUAUCCUGUGCUACAUAAGAAUAAGUAGUUGCAAUACAGGCUGAGAGAGGCUGCUGGGCCAUGGUGACCUAACAUGGUCGGAGCUGGGGGAACAUAUUUGCGAUUGCAUCUCACCAUCCCUCCAACCUCCUGCUGUCGCUUUCCAUUGACAAACACAACAGGAAGCCAAGAACAAGGAAGCAGACCUCAGAUGAUGUCUUAUUCCGUCUCUGGCAGUGCGAGAACUGGUCCUCCGGCCUCACUGAUCCCAUUUGCUUGGCUCCUGCAGCCCUGGGCCCUCCUUGUUUUCCUCUGAGGGCUUAGCUACUCUUUCUGGUGGGGAAGACACUCCGGAUCUUUGCUGUCACGGUGACCUAAGGCCACUUACUUUUAUUAUAGUGCUUUCUCCAGGUGCUUUGGUUUUAUCCGCACUGUAUUAACUUUAUAUUCCAUAUGUAAAAUGUAAUGGAUAUAACUUUAUAGUAGCUGUAAU
rnacentral:lncRNA from 1 species